UCGCAGAUCAGCAUGCUGCGGUGAAUACGUUCCCGGGCCUUGUACACACCGCCCGUCACACCAUGGGAGUCGGUAACACCCGAAGUCGGUAGUCUAACCGAAAGGAGGACGCCGCCGAAGGUGGGAUUGAUGACUGGGGUGAAGUCGUAACAAGGUACC
rnacentral:rRNA from 1 species